AGUGGGCUAUCAUGCAGUCGACGAACUUCCGUUAAUUGAUUAUGACGUGCUUGCACUGAAUGAGAUUUUAACACGAAGUGAGUGGCGGACGGGUGAGUAACACGUGGGUAACCUGCCCAGAAGCAGGGGAUAACACCUGGAAACAGAUGCUAAUUUAGUAUAACAGAGAAAACCGCCUGGUUUUCUUUUAAAAGAUGGCUCUGCUAUCACUUCUGGAUGGACCCGCGGCGCAUUAGCUAGUUGGUGAGGUAACGGCUCACCAAGGCGAUGAUGCGUAGCCGACCUGAGAGGGUAAUCGGCCACAUUGGGACUGAGACACGGCCCAGACUCCUACGGGAGGCAGCAGUAGGGAAUCUUCCACAUGCGACGCAAGUCUGAUGGAGCAACGCCGCGUGAGUGAAGAAGGGUUUCGGCUCGUAAAGCUCUGUUGUUAAAGAAGAACGUGGGUGAGAGUAACUGUUCACCCAGUGACGGUAUUUAACCAGAAAGCCAGCAUUAACUACGUGCCAGCAGCCGCGGUAAUACGUAGGUGGCAAGCGUUAUCCGGAUUUAUUGGGCGUAAAGCGAGCGCAGGCGGUCUUUUAAGUCUAAUGUGAAAGCCUUCGGCUCAACCGAAGAAGUGCAUUGGAAACUGAUGCAAUUUGAGUGCAGAAGAGGACAGUGGAACUCCAUGUGUAGCGGUGAAAUGCGUAGAUAUAUGGAAGAACACCAGUGGCGAAGGCGGCUGUCUGGUCUGUAACUGACGCUGAGGCUCGAAAGCAUGGGUAGCGAACAGGAUUAGAUACCCAGGUAGUCCAUGCCGUAAACGAUGAUUACUAAGUGUUGGAGGGUUUCCGCCCUUCAAUGCAGCAGCUAACGCAUUAAGUAAUCCGCCUGGGGAGUACGACCGCAAGGUUGAAACUCAAAAGAAUUGACGGGGGCCCGCACAAGCGGUGGAGCAUGUGGUUUAAUUCGAAGCUACGCGAAGAACCUUACCAGGUCUUGACAUCUUCUGCCAACCUAAGAGAUUAGGCGUUCCCUUCGGGGACAGAAUGACAGGUGGUGCAUGGUUGUCGUCAGCUCGUGUCGUGAGAUGUUGGGUUAAGUCCCGCAACGAAUGCAACCCUUAUUACUAGUUGCCAGCAUUCAAUGCACACUCUAGUGAGACUGCCGGUGACAAACCGGAGGAAGGUGGGGACGACGUCAAAUCAUCAUGCCCCUUAUGACCUGGGCUACACACGUGCUACAAUGGAUGGUACAACGAGUUGCGAAACCGCGAGGUUUAGCUAAUCUCUUAAAACCAUUCUCAGUUCGGACUGUAGGCUGCAACUCGCCUACACGAAGUCGGAAUCGCUAGUAAUCGCGCAUAGCAUGCCGCGGUGAAUACGUUCCCGGGCCUUGUACACACCGCCCGUCACACCAUGAGAGUUUGUAACACCCAAAGCCCGGUGGGCAACCUUUAGAGCAGAUCGAUGCAUA
rnacentral:rRNA from 1 species